UACGGGGGGGGUAAGCGUUGUUCGGAAUUACUGGGCGUAAAGGGCUCGUAGGCGGCCAACUAAGUCGGACGUGAAAUCCCUCAGCUUAACCGGGGAACUGCAUCUGAUACUGGAUGGCUUGAGUUUGGGAGAGGGAUGCGGAAUUCCAGGUGUAGCGGUGAAAUGCGUAGAUAUCUGGAGGAACACCGGUGGCGAAGGCGGCAUCCUGGACCAACACUGACACUGAGGAGCGAAAGCCAGGGGAGCAAACGGG
rnacentral:rRNA from 1 species